rnacentral:rRNA from 1 species
UGCGUAGGCGGUUCGUUAAGUGCGUCGUGAAAGCCCCGGGCUCAACCUGGGAAUGGCGAUGGAAACUGGCGGGCUGGAGUAUGGCAGAGGGGGUGGAAUUCCGCGUGUAGCAGUGAAAUGCGUAGAGAUGCGGAGGAACACCGAUGGCGAAGGCAGCCCCCUGGGCCAAUACUGACGCUCAGGCACGAAAGCGUGGGAGCAAACA